rnacentral:lncRNA from 1 species
CUCAACUGAUUUGAACUGAUUUAUCUUAUAACUGGAAGUUUGAACCUUUCUACUAACUUCAUCCAAUUCCUUCUCCUCUCAGCCUCCUGCCUCUGCUGUUCCACCUACAGACCUGUGUUCAAGGCUGGAAGAAGAGGACAGGAGAAAGGACCUAUGCCAACCACAUCUUUGAAAAACACAGACUCUAUCUUUGGACUCAUUGACUGCACCUGGAUUAUAUAGGAAUUCUUCCAAAGAAGGCUUGGAAAUUAGGGAAAGGGAAUAUAAUAACUGGCCUAAAUGAAUUACAAACUCAUCCCUUGGGUCUUGGCACCUGGCUGUUCUGAAUAAAGGUGGCAUGGAUGUUGCGCAGCCAUUGUCAAUAUGUCACACUCUUCUGUGUCCCUCUAGGUCAUUUGCUUUAAGUAGUUGAGUAGAUACCCCAUAGAUUUAUAAUCAAUUGCUUAACUAUUUUCUCUUGCAAUUAAAUCAUAGCUUCUGUAGGGCAGGAACUGUGUCUUAUAUGCUCUUCUAUUAUGCAAUUUAUCAUAGGGCCUAAAAUAUAAAUGUUGCUGAGCAUUCUAUUGAAUUGAAUUAAGUGCCUUGAGCUUAAGUGCAUUGCCUGUGUUGAAUUAUAGAAUUAUAAGAAUAGAGUACUAAUAUAGUAUUAUAGUUUAGAGGUGUGAGUGACCAUAUUAACUUUUGGGUGGGGGAAAAAAAAAGGGAUUUACAGUGUAUCUCAAGGAAUGGAUAAGAUCCUAGUCUGAUUUAGUUUUACAUAGCACCCAUGGCACCUAGCCCAGUGUAUUUCAAUGUUCCUUGAACUGAAUUGAAUU